rnacentral:rRNA from 1 species
UAAUACAGAGACUGCAAGCGUUAUUCGGAUUCACUGGGCGUAAAGGGUGCGCAGGCGGCCAUGUGUGUAAGGUGUGAAAUCCCGGGGCUUAACCCCGGAACUGCGCCUUAAACUACAUGGCUAGAGUAUUGGAGAGGGUAGUGGAAUUCACGGUGUAGCAGUGAAAUGCGUAGAUAUCGUGAGGAACACCAGAGGCGAAGGCGACUACCUGGACAAUUACUGACGCUCAGGCACGAAAGCGUGGGGAGCAAAAGGG